UACGAGGGGGGCAAAUGUUGUUCGGAAUUACUGGGCGUAAAGCGUGCGCAGGCGGUUUUGUAAGCCAGAUGUGAAAUCCCCGGGCUUAACCUGGGAAUGGCAUUUGGGACUGCAAGGUUGGAGUGUGGCAGAGGAGACUGGAAUUCCUGGUGUAGCAGUGAAAUGCGUAGAUAUCAGGAGGAAUACCGAUGGCGAAGGCAGGUCUCUGGGCUGACACUGACGCUCAUGCACGAAAGCGUGGGGAGCAAAC
rnacentral:rRNA from 1 species